rnacentral:rRNA from 1 species
GAUGAACGCUGGCGGCGUGCCUAAUACAUGCAAGUCGAGCGAACGGACGAGAAGCUUGCUUCUCUGCUGUUAGCGGCGGACGGGUGAGUAACACGUGGAUAACCUACCUAUAAGACUGGGAUAACUUCGGGAAACCGGAGCUAAUACCGGAUAAUAUUUUGAACCGCAUGGUUCAAAAGUGAAAGACGGUCUUGCUGUCACUUAUAGAUGUAUCCGCGCUGCAUUAGCUAGUUGGUAAGGUAACGGCUUACCAAGGCAACGAUGCAUAGCCGACCUGAGAGGGUGAUCGGCCACACUGGAACUGAGACACGGUCCAGACUCCUACGGGAGGCAGCAGUAGGGAAUCUUCCGCAAUGGGCGAAAGCCUGACGGAGCAACGCCGCGUGAGUGAUGAAGGUCUUCGGAUCGUAAAACUCUGUUAUUAGGGAAGAACAGAUGUGUAAGUAACUGUGCACAUCUUGACGGUACCUAAUCAGAAAGCCACGGCUAACUACGUG